UGUGUUUUAGGCCAUGUUGGCCAAUCAGAAGCCUGACAAAGUUUCAAGUAGGCGGAGAAAACAGCGCAGGCUCCGACGUCACAAGCCAAAAACUCUGGUUUUGCUGUCUAACGUUACAUGAUAACACUGCAACCGGAGUUUUUUAAAAUCUUCACCCUGGCAGGAGUUUUCAAAAUGUUCGGUUUCAGUGACCUGGUGCAGUGUUUGCGUGAGGACGAACGGCCAAACCGCAGAGAAAAAGCUGCUGUAUUGAAAAUAACCGCGUUCGUGUGGACGGCCAAUGAGCGCGCGCGUUGAGCAUUCAAAUCGUAUUUAAACUGAAGCGGAGGAGGUUACCAUGGCAACAGGGCGUCAACUCACUCAGCUGACAAUUAACGAGAAGCUGUCUCUCUGCUGUCUUCACUGCUUUCAGGUACGUUUAGUCCCUAAAGUUACACAAAUAAUACAUACAACUGUUCCUGACACUUUCUUACAUGUUACUGACACGUUUCUGUUGAAUCUUUACUUUACAGGAGUGGUAUAGUGUCUUCAAAAAGACCGUUAGCAUCACAACCGUUAACUAUAGAGGCUAACAAUUAGAGGAGCGUCAGAAAAAAUACUUAAAGCAGGGGAAGUUACAAGAAAAUUUGUAAUGAGAGCUGCUGACAGAGAUACAGGAAACACAGAGCUGGAGCAGAACAGAUCUCCUGUCGAAGAACAUCUCCAAAGCGCCAUGAACCAUCUGACUAGGCAGUUCGUGAAGACGGAUAACCUGGACAGAAGUCGGUUCCAGAUCCAGCCUCCACACCAGACUUCUCACUCACAAGGAUUGCUGUCUACUAGAUAUUAUGUGUACUCUUCAGACUUAGGUUCAUGCAGAUAUUAUUCAGGGACAUGAACACUUGAAUACUGCAAAAAUAGAGAAACAGAGAAAUAGAGAACUUUGUGUUAAUUGCGUGAACAUUAAACAAAUAUAUAUUUAUUUUACUGUUUUUUUGUUUUGUAUUCCAAAGCACCUAAAAGCCAAUUCACACUGCCAUACACCAACAGGGUGAACACACUGA